CCUACGGGAGGCAGCAGUGAGGAAUAUUGGUCAAUGGGCGGAAGCCUGAACCAGCCAAGUAGCGUGCGGGAUGAAGGCCCUACGGGUCGUAAACCGCUUUUGCACGGGGAUAACACCCUCCACUUGUGGAGGUCUGCAGGUACCGUGCGAAUAAGGGCCGGCUAAUUCCGUGCCAGCAGCCGCGGUAAUACGGAAGGCCCGAGCGUUAUCCGGAUUGAUUGGGCUAAAAGGGUGCGCAGGCGGCCUGUUAAGUCAGCGGUAAAAGCCCGGGGCUAAACCCCGGCGAGCCGUUGAAACUGGCGGGCUGGAGUUGGAGAGAAGUACGCGGAAUGCGCGGUGUAGCGGUGAAAUGCUUAGAUAUCGCGCAGAACCCCGAUUGCGAAGGCAGCGUACCGGCUCCACACUGACGCUGAGGCACGAAAGCGUGGGUAUCGAACAGGAUUAGAUACCCUGGUAGUC
rnacentral:rRNA from 1 species